AUUGAACGCUGGCGGCAGGCCUAACACAUGCAAGUCGAGCGGAUGAAGGGAGCUUGCUCCUGGAUUCAGCGGCGGACGGGUGAGUAAUGCCUAGGAAUCUGCCUCGUAGUGGGGUAUAACGUCCUGAAACGGGCGCUAAUACCGCAUACGUCCUGCGGGAGCAAGUGGGUGAUCUUCGGACCUCACGCUAUCAGAUGAGCCUAGGUCGGAUUAGAUAGUUUGUGGGGUAAAGGCCUACCAAGGCGACGAUCCGUAACUGGUCUGAGAGGAUGAUCAGUCACACUGGAACUGAGACACGGUCCAGACUCCUACGGGAGGCAGCAGUGGGGAAUAUUGGACAAUGGGCGAAAGCCUGAUCCAGCCAUGCCGCGUGUGUGAAGAAGGUCUUCGGAUUGUAAAGCACUUUAAGUUGGGAGGAAGGGCAGUAAGUUAAUACCUUGCUGUUUUGACGGUACCAACAGAAUAAGCACCGGCUAACUUCGUG
rnacentral:rRNA from 1 species